AAGACUGUGCUUCAUAGGAUCAUUUCUAUAGGCUAGUUUUCAGUUCUACUUCAUCGUAAGCGGAGCUUAUCCAACCCACGAUGACGAGUCGUAGUGGCUGUCCUGGAGCGUGAAACUGUCGGAUCUCGGCUGCGCCUCUGGCGUGUCGGUCUGUACUUGAUGAUCGUAUCCUAAGCAAAAGGGCAGACACAUUCUGAGUGGU
rnacentral:snoRNA from 1 species